rnacentral:tRNA from 1 species
GGGGUCGUAGCACAGAGGUAAUGCGCCUACGCGUCAUGGAGGAGGGCGCCGGUUCGAAUCCGGCCGCCCCGCCC